ensembl:lncRNA JPX JPX transcript, XIST activator
GGAAGACUUAAGAUGGCGGCGUUUGCACGGAGUGCAAUCACUGCGUCCUUACGGGGGUUGCAAGGCGUCCGAAGUAUGAGUCCACUAACAAAAGUCCAGAAACUCGCCAGUUAAUAGUAUUGUGGUGAGUGAUGAGCCUCACGUUGGCUAGAGAAGUGGCCGUUAGCGAGGCUACACACUUUGGGAUCGCGUGGCCUGAGUCGGGGGAGUAACCGGCCUGUAUUCCAUUUUUCUCUCUCCAGUCUCUUCAAAAUAUCGGAGAAUAAUUUCUUUCUCGCUGAUCGCCUAACUUCUACUGACGAAGCUUGGAAGUUGCAGAAGGUACUGGCUCCUGUAUCACCCAGCUCUGGAGUUGAAAGAGCUCUUCAUUCCUGAGUCUCCUGUACCACUGAGAAUAGGCUGGAGUGCAGUGGCGCAAUCUCGGCUCUCUGCAACCUUCACCUCCCGUGUUCAAGUGAUUCUCCUGCCUCAGCCUCCUGAAUACCUGAGAUUACAAGCAUGCACCACCACGCCCGUCUAAUUUUGUAUUUUCACUAGAGACGGGGUUUCUCCAUGUUGGUCAGGCUGGUCUCGAACUCCCGACCUCAGGUGAUCCGCCCGCCUCAGCCUCCCAAAGUGCUGGGAUUACAGGCAUGAGCCACCGCGUCCAGCAAGAAUAGGUGAUUUUCAAACUUGGAAACAUUCAGAAGUUAUCGCCUCAGUUUCAGAUUGAGUAGUCUCAAAGAGAUUACAGACAUCUACCACAAAUUCUCUACUUGGUGUGGUGCAAAAUCAGUAUGAUGUAAACUUUGUCUCUCAGUUUCUUCAAAGGAAAGAAGCAACUGGAACACACAUAUAACACUAACCCUUCCAGCUGCAUUAUGAGGGACCAGUACCUGUCUCAAGGCAAAAUUAUGACUUAGUUCAUCCUCACCUCUGGAGGCCAGUAAAAGUGGGUUAUAGAAGAACAAAGAGGCAUCUAGAUCUUUCACUGGGUUAUUUGGAGAGAAACAUCUCCUACCGAAGGCCAGUUUAACAAGACUGGUAGAGGAGGUUAUCUUAUCUAAUUCACAGAAAUCAACACAUUGAGUCAAGAAAAAUGAAACACAGAAACACUCUAAAUAAAAGAAGAUAAGUCUUCAGAAACCAACCCUAAUGAAAUGAAGAUAUGUGAUUAACCUGACAGGAAAUUAAAAAGAGCAACCAUAAAGAGUCUCAUGGGAGCAAUGCAUGAACAAACUGAGAAUUUUCAUAAAGAAAUAAAAGAUAACAAAAAGUAUAAAGUUGAAGAAUACAAUAACUGGACUCAAAAAUUUAAUGUGUCCAACAGAAGAAUCGAUGAAGCAGAAGAAAGGGCUAUCAAACUUGUAGAUAGGCCAUUGGAAAUCAUGUAAUGUGAGGAGAAAAAAGAAAAAA